GGCCUCGUGGCCCAAUGGCAAGGCGUCUGACUACGAUUAGUAAACAACUUCAAUAGCUGUACUAGUUAAUCAGGAGAUUCUGGGUUCGACCCCCAGCGAGGUCA